UAUACAACUCUUUUGAAUUUCGUAUAAAAUUAAAAAUGGCAUCUAAUAUGUCAGAUAAAUAUGUGAUGUACUUCGUGAAAACAAUGAAAAAUGUUUUUUCUCUUUUCUUUAAUCUUUAAAAUUUCUGCACGAUAUAUUUUAAAAAGCGAAGUAUUUUCUUAAUUUCAAAAGAUGUUCUAUUUACAUAAAUUCUUUCCCUGCAACAAAAGGGAAAAUGUGCACGAAGUUGAGUAUAUACAAUCAGUGAUUGAAUAUUCAAACAAAUGUGUAAAUCAUCGACUGAAAAUGGAAUUAACUUAUAUGAAUUAUGGAAGAAAAUAAUGAAACAAGUAGAUAAUUUAGCCUGGAUUUAUUGUCACAACUUUUGUACAAAACAGCAAAAAUACUCUUAUAUUAGACCAUCAGAUAACAAACUCAAGUUCUUCAAAUAGACAAGAAAAUACUAUAUUACAAAAGGAAUAAUAUCUAAUAGUUGAGUUCUUUAAUACUUAUAACAAUAUAUUAAAAGUUUAUAAGGGAGAUACAAUUAAAAAGAAAUUUAUAUUUUAUAGAUAUGAAGUUGAUACUAUUUCAAAAGACUUUGGAUUAUGUAAUAUAAUUUUUGUAAUUUAAGAUUUUAGUGAUAUUCAAUAAGAUAAUAUUUUGCCUGUUUUACACAAUGAAUUUAACGUAAACACUAAGAUGGAAGCAAUGGUAAAUAUUAAUUAAUAUUUAUAAUUGUUAAAUUUUAAUUGUAGGUAAUGAUUACACAAACAAUAUCAAGUUUUAUAUUUGUUUGUCCACAUUCUUUAUAUAUAACUCCUUUUAUUUUGUGUGUGUGUGUGUGUGUAAAAUAUGGAAUUUGGACUUCGCUGCUCUAACUCCUGAACAAUUGAAUUUUCUUCUUUUAAAUGAUGAAGAUAUUUUAUUAGAAAUAUUCGGAAAAAUACAUAUCACCGAUUUCAAUUUGGAUGGAGAAUUAAAUGAUAUCUUUCGCCAAUAAAAAAAUUUUAACAGGUUUAGAAGGAUCUAAUACCACAAUGUAUAAAAUUGAGACAAAAAUAUCAGUAUUUUUUGAGCAUGGUAAUAUACCGAUAGGGGAUGAAAAGAGCAUCAUAUUUUUGGUAGAAGUCAAUCAAAGUUUUAACUAAUUAUAAUUGUUCAAUUUAUUAAUGUAAUACUUAUUUUUUCGAUGAAGAAUAUAGAACAGCAUAUAUGAAGUCAAUAUUACCAGAUAUAAUCAUAGAAUUUAUAAGAAUUAAUUUAUAAGAAUUGUGCCAGAAAAAAUAUAACUACCAAAAAUUGUAGAAGAAUCUUUUAUUUGUAAAAGAAAUUAUGGAAGAAACUUAUAUCAGUUGCUAAGUAAUAUAUUGAUAUUUG